GAGGAAGUGGGGGGAGCACUUUACAGAGUCACUUUCAGUUUCCAUCACACAAUGUUAACAAUGGGACUUAGAGUCUGAGUCUUCAGUCUGAACUCUGCAGAGAUCGUAGCUGCAGAGUCUGAACCUCCGCUGCUCUGACUCGGUGUCAUGAGUCAAACCAGCUGUUAACUCGUCUCUUCUUCCAUUGAUCCACAUCCAGUUCUCACAGAAUGACAGAAAGAUGUCUGCGUUCAAGUCUCUGGUUGUGUGGAUCCUCAACAUGUGGACUCUCACCACAGCAGAUGUUGAGGUCUCCUGCGUUUUAGCGGAGAGCUGCAUCUUACCCUGCAGUUUUCAGCCUGGUAAAGACCCAGUCAUUUACUGGAUGAAGGUGGAAGCAGGAAACACUCGUGUCCACUCCUACUACAGAGACAGAGACCAGUUUGAUCUGCAGAGCGAGCGCUUCAGAGGCCGGACAUCGCUGUUCACAGAGCAGAUCUCCAGAGGAAACGCCUCGAUCAGGCUGACGGGGCUGCAGCUUCAGGACCAGGGCAGAUACGAGUGCUACACCAGCACCAUCACUGGAGUCCACAAGGUGUCAGUUAUCAACCUGAGAGCAGAUGCUCCGGUGCGUCACGUGGACAUUGAGCAGGUGGAGAACAGCUUCACCUGCCGCUCAGAGGGGAUCUACCCCAAGCCGCAGCUCACCUGGUCCACCAGGCCUCCGUCCAACGUGACCCUUCAGAUCCAAACCUCAGUGAAGGAGACGGAGCAGCAGCUCUAUGAGAUCAGCAGCACACUGACACUGUCAGACAGAGACACUGUUCUGAUCUGCAGCUUCAGCACUCGCAGUGGCAGGAGGAGCGCGGUGUGGUAUCAACCCACUCCCGUCCAUGUGUUACUGUUUGAAACAACAACAACAAUCCACUGCACUGCUCCAAACACCAAACCCCCGACACACCUGGUGUGGAAGUUCAACCACAGGCAGAUCAUUGUGAACCAGACCGGGGUCGACGGCCCCCCCAGGGUCUCAGAGCAGUGGAGGCAGCAGGUGGAGGAUGUGUCAGCGUCAGGCAGCCUCACGCUGCACCACUUAUCUUCAGAUCACCAGGGAACGUUCACCUGUGAACUCAGUAGUGAAGAGGAGACGCAUUUCAUCAACAGCUACGUGACGAUAGAGGAAGGUUUUUCAGGUUCAGUUGCACUAAUUGUGGUCGGAGUACUCGCUGUGUGUGUAGCAUUAGGAGCUGGAGCAGGAUUCUUCUACUUUCAAAUACUAACGGUAAAUAUUAAUAUUUACAAUAAUUGUGCUAUUCAUUUAUUAUGUGUUGUUUCUUCUAAUGAUUAUUUCUUUUGAACAAACCCAAAACGGACCAUCCACAAUCAGAUGCUACAGAGAUAAAAGAUUAAAGUCCCACAUCGAAGAAAAGUAUAAGAACACGACAUCUGAAAAUAAAGAAAUGCUGCCUGAGUUAAAAAAAGACUCGAGCUGGAUGGAAGCAGAGACAACUGAACGUCUCUGCUGGGAAACCAAGGACUAAAGACUCUUCUGGAAUACGGGUUUGGGACGUAACCUUUACUGAAUUACAGCGCCCCCUGCAGUGUUGAUGAGGUUUCUAAGAUGCGACAGACGCAAAACUGAAAGAAAAAUACAAAUACGUCAGGAUGAAGAAGAGGAGCCAAACACAUAGAAGAUGAAGACGUCAACUUGGAAAGACGAGGAGAUUCCAGAGAUUAAAGCUGAAUUAUGUUUCUGCACUGGAAAGAAUGAACAGAUUUGUAUUUUAUAUUUGGUACUGUUUUGUAUUUGUUCAUAUUUUUGUGAAACUUUACUUCGACUGUUUUGGCACAUUUAAUGUUUUAUUAAAAUGUAUUUAUCUAAA